AUUGAACGCUGGCGGCAGGCCUAACACAUGCAAGUCGAACGAGUGGCGGACGGGUGAGUAAUGUAUGGGAAACUGCCUGAUGGCGGGGGAUAACUACUGGAAACGGUAGCUAAUACCGCAUACCAUCAGAUGUGCCCAGAUGGGAUUAGCUAGUUGGUGGGGUAAAGGCUCAACAAGGCGACGAUCCCUAGCUGGUCUGAGAGGAUGACCAGCCACACUGGAACUGAGACACGGUCCAGACUCCUACGGGAGGCAGCAGUGGGGAAUAUUGGACAAUGGGGGCAAGCCUGAUCCAGCCAUGCCGCGUGUAUGAAGAAGGCCUUCGGGUUGUAAAGUACUUUCGGCAGGGAGGCGUUACCCGCAGAAGAAGCACCGGCUAACUCCGUGCCAGCAGCCGCGGUAAUAC
rnacentral:rRNA from 1 species